AGACCGAUAGCGAACAAGUAGAGUGAUCGAAAGAUGAAAAGCACUUUGAAAAGAGAGUUAAACAGCACGUGAAAUUGUUGAAAGGGAAGCGCUUGCGACCAGACUCGGCCUCGGGGUUCAGCCAGCAUUCGUGCUGGUGUACUUCCCCGGGGCCGGGCCAGCGUCGGUUCGGGCGGCCGGUCAAAGGCCCCAGGAAUGUAUCGUCCUCCGGGACGUCUUAUAGCCUGGGGUGCAAUGCGGCCAGCCUGGACCGAGGAACGCGCUUCGGCACGGACGCUGGCGUAAUGGUUGCAAACGACCCGUCUUGAAACACGGACCAAGACUC
rnacentral:rRNA from 1 species